rnacentral:sRNA from 1 species
AGCUGCUGGAAACUCUGGCCCAGCUGCGGGAGGACCGGCAAGUGCGUGUCCUGCUCUUCAGAAGUGGAGUGAAGGGCGUGUUCUGUGCAGGCCCCCAUUGCCGUGCGGCUGGGCAAAGUAGCCAUUGACCGAGGAAUGGAGGUGGACAUUGCAUCCGGGAUGGCCAUUGAAGGGAUGUGCUAUGCCCAGAAUAUUCCAACCCGGGACCGGCUAGAGGGCAUGGCAGCCUUCAGGGAGAAGCGGACUCCCAAAUUUGUUGGCAAAUGACCCCCAUUUUAACCUUCAGCAUGGGAGAUGCAUGCCCUGAAGAGCAGGAUCCAGAAGGAAGAUUUGUGGCCGGAUUGCCUUCAUCAUUUCACCUCUCCAGACUUCCAUUUCUUCACAAGGAUGAUGAUGGAAAUAAAAUGACUGGCAUGAUGCCUGGAACCAAGGUGCUGAUCCUACCACCUACUGCUACCUUCCUUAGCUUCACCCUGGCUAGAAAUAAUCACGAGGGUUGGGUUUGCUUUGGAAAAUGCCUGUCUCUCUACUUGAAUGAUAAAGAAUUAAAUUAGA